GCACGCAGAGAAGAGUUGAUGUUGUUUCUUACAGGCAAAAUAAAGAGGAUAAUCCUUCCCUCAUAAGACAGCUUUGAGAAUUGAAUGAAAUUGCUCCUCUAGAGUGCCUUCUACAAGUCCAUACUAUCAUGUCUUUGAAGACAGGUCCAUACCUUGGGUGUUUGUAUUUGGACAACCACAGACAUUGCCAAGAAAUGUAUCUGUUCUACUUGCACACCUUCACCACCUGGAUGCUGCUUGAGGACACAGAUCUGGUCCAUCAGAUUUCUCUCUGUACUCCUCUCUAUAUUUCGCCAUAUUUGAUAUAGACCCAUCAAUGGCUCCCUAGAAUAAAAUCUCAACUCUUCACUGUGCCCACAGCCCCAGUGACCUUGCCACUUCCAUCAGAGCCCUCACACCAGUGCCCAGACAUACAGACUGACCUCCUGACCAUCCCCCAGAUGUGCUAAGGCCGGUUCUGCUUCUGGACUUCUGAACAGACAUGUUUGGUAAACCCAAACAUUUCAGAUGGUGAAUAGCUCUGAAAGCAAAGUAAGACAGGGUAGGGCAGGAAGGACUUCCAGCAAAGUCACCCCAGGCUGGCCCCUUUC
rnacentral:lncRNA from 1 species